rnacentral:rRNA from 1 species
AUACGUAGGGGGCUAGCGUUAUCCGGAAUUACUGGGCGUAAAGGGUGCGUAGGUGGUUUCUUAAGUCAGAAGUGAAAGGCUACGGCUCAACCGUAGUAAGCUUUUGAAACUAAGAGACUUGAGUGCAGGAGAGGAGAGUAGAAUUCCUAGUGUAGCGGUGAAAUGCGUAGAUAUUAGGAGGAAUACCAGUUGCGAAGGCGGCUCUCUGGACUGUAACUGACACUGAGGCACGAAAGCGUGGGGAGCAAACAGGAUUAGAUACCCUGGUAGUCCACGCCGUAAACGAUGAGUACUAGCUGUCGGGGGUUACCCCCCUCGGUGGCGCAGCUAACGCAUUAAGCACUCCGCCUGGGAAGUACGCUCGCAAGAGUGAAACUCAAAUGAAUUGACGGGG